CGAGGCGUCAGUGUGAAGGGAAGGCUAAGGACGCAACGGUGCUGGAGAGUUGAGAAUAUACCUUCCCCUCCACCCCCAACCCAGUUACCUUAUUUGAAAAAAAAAACAAACAAACAAAACAAAAACAAACAAAAAACAAAAACCUUUUAUUUAAAGCCCUAACCCUGGAAGUUUGCUCGGAUUCCACUGGUAAUUCUUUGGAGCAACACUAUGCCUUUGCGACUUAA
rnacentral:lncRNA from 1 species